UACGUAGGGGGCUAGCGUUGUCCGGAUUUAUUGGGCGUAAAGAGCUCGUAGGCGGUCUGUCGCGUCUGCUGUGAAAACUCAGGGCUUAACCCUGAGCUUGCAGUGGGUACGGGCAGACUAGAGUGCGGUAGGGGAGACUGGAAUUCCUGGUGUAGCGGUGAAAUGCGCAGAUAUCAGGAGGAACACCGGUGGCGAAAGGCGGGUCUCUGGGCCGUAACUGACGCUGAGGAGCGAAAGCAUGGGGAGCGAACAGG
rnacentral:rRNA from 1 species